GACGAACGCUGGCGGCGUGCCUAAUACAUGCAAGUAGGACGCAGUUGCGAACGGGUGAGUAACGCGUAGGUAACUACCUAUUAGAGGGGGAUAACUAUUGGAAACGAUAGCUAAUACCGCAUACUAGUAGAUGGACCUGCGUUGUAUUAGCUAGUAGGUAGGGUAAUGGCCUAACUAGGCAACGAUACAUAGCCGAGCCGGGAGGGGUAUCGGGCAAAAUGGGACUGAGACACGGGCCAGACUCCCACGGGAGGCAGCAGUAGGGAAUCAUCGGCCAUUGGGGGAAACCUGACCGAGCAACGCCGCGUGAGUGAAGAAGGUUUUCGGAUCGUAAAGCUCUGUUGUGAAGGAAGCGGUACUUAAACAGAAAGGGACGGCUAACUACGUGCCAGCAGCCGCGGUAAUUC
rnacentral:rRNA from 1 species